rnacentral:rRNA from 1 species
CGCGAAGAACCUUACCAGGUCUUGACAUCCUUUGACCAUCCUAGAGAUAGGACUUUCCCUUCGGGGACAAAGUGACAGGUGGUGCAUGGUUGUCGUCAGCUCGUGUCGUGAGAUGUUGGGUUAAGUCCCGCAACGAGCGCAACCCUUAUUGUUAGUUGCCAUCAUUUAGUUGGGCGCCCUAGCGAGACUGCCGCAGACAAUGCGGAGGAAGGUGGGGAUGACGUCAAAUCAUCAUGCCCCUUAUGACCUGGGCUACACACGUGCUACAAUGGAGAGUACAACGAGUUGCGAAGUCGUGAGGCUAAGCUAAUCUCUUAAAGCUCUUCUCAGUUCGGAUUGUAGGCUGCAACUCGCCUACAUGAAGCCGGAAUCGCUAGUAAUCGCGGAUCAGCACGCCGCGGUGAAUACGUUCCCGGGUCUUGUACACACC